rnacentral:lncRNA from 1 species
AUGCGUGCUUACAGAUCUUUGCUGUUUUGCUUUUUAGGUGCAAACCCGAAUUAUCCUGAUGUAAUUUAUGAAGAUUAUGGGACUGCAACAAACGACGUCGGGGACACCACCAACAGAAGUAACGAUAUCCCUCCCACUGGGGUUGCUGACACAACUGGUCGGGAACAUCUCUCGGUCUAUGCUGUUGUGGUAAUUGCAUCUGUGGUGGGAUUUUGUCUGCUGAUAAUGCUGUUUCUGCUUAAGUUGGCAAGACACUCCAAGUUUGGCAUGAAAGCCCAGGUGGCUGUCACUCCCAUGGUGAGCAACAGGAAACUAGAGCACAGGCCAGAGAUACGGAUGAGGAAGACGCUGACCUAGCAGUGAGGGCCUGCGGUGUGGACGAGUCUCUAGGAGGUGAGGAACCGAGACUGGGGAUAACCGGCACUAUGGAAGAGGAGGUGGAAAAGUUGCCAGGUUGAAGAUAUUUUGAGAGGCUUGAAUGUGGUGUCUGGGAAAUCGAGGAAGCAGAAAUUUUUGAAGUAUGCACACUCACCAGAGCCAAAGGCCCCUGCUUGGUCAUCCGGGAAGAAGACAGAGGGGAAAAAAAGGCCAUUGGGAAAUACUGCUAAGGCCUUUGUGGUGGCCGCUGAGGGAGUAGGUAUAGGAAGGGCCAGAUCCAAGCAAGUCAGGCUCCCAUGCAGCAGGAGCUGCAAAAGACACCCCUCACUCUGCAGCAUGAAGGGGAGGGACAAACAAGGAGGGGCUGCUGCCUGUCCUAGGUGUGGCCUGGAGAGAUGACCUCUAGGCAGACCAGCUCCAGCCUACCGGGUGUGAAAUGGCUGAGCUGAUAGGGAACACCAAGCACCCCAGGAAGGGGAACCAGAGCCCAGGGUCCAGAGCAUUGGCCUCAAAGAGCAGGGAGGCAGC